ACAGUCUCAGUUCGGAUUGAAGGCUGAAAUUCGCCUUCAUGAAGCCGGAAUUGCUAGUAAUGGCAGGUCAGCAUACUGCCGUGAAUACGUUCCCGGGUCUUGUACACACCGCCCGUCACACCAUGGGAGCCGGAAAUGCCCGAAGCCAGUGACCCAACCUUAGGGAGGGAGCUGUCGAAGGCGGAGCCGGUAACUGGGGUGAAGUCGUAACAAGGUACC
rnacentral:rRNA from 1 species